UCACACAGGACAGUCGCCUUCAAAAAAAGACAAAUGUGUCUUCACAACAUUGUGAGCCGACGAGCGGUGAGCGCGGUCUUCCAAGUAGCGCCUGCACGGACAAUGGAUGUUCGUUCUGUCGUCGCAAUGCGAUAGAUAGUGUUUGUCUUUCCGAACGAAACUAACGACAAUGGCGCGAUAAACGUUCCAUAUUCUCUUCGCUGGUGCAGACGUCGCACAGAGCCGCUGUUGGGAGGGGGUGGGGUACUAAUCUUUUUCUGUGUUUUGCAGGCAUUUCAUUGUUGCAAAGGAGAUGGAAUGUGGUAAGUUGCCGCUGAUUGGCGCAUCAUGAAUGAAAACGUGCGUCUGGCAGAGAAAAGCAGACGCGACGAGGCUUCAGAAAAAGAAAUACAUGUUUGCGUGUCAUAACAAGUUCAUCCAAGACAUGCAUGUCGUCAUACCUAUCAGCAUCCAUCUGGACAGGAUUAUCACGGCGACGUGGGAAGCACUACGUCUUAAGUACCACACACUGAAGGCCUGAGGUAAACUCCCGAAAGUAGAUCUAUCGGAAGAUAGUACACAACAAAAACAAAAAGUAUAACGAAAUGAAAACGACCCUUCAGACUGGCGAGGCGCCUCAAGCCCCUGUAAAGCGUGCUUCACGCAUGGUAAACAGACGCCAGGUGAAGCCACAAGGUUCUCCGCAAAUUCAAUGCAAAGGGAUACUUUUCUUCUACCGAAAGGAGGACGGUAGGGCGGUCUAUGAAUUGGCACCGCUUUUGUGAAGGGUGAAAAUCAGCGAUAAAAAGGGAAAUGGUAGAUGGCGAUAGGACUGUGAGACGUAACUGCUCGUCCCAAAAAGCAACCAUGAGAAGUUUCAGUAAUAAUAAUAAUAAUAAUAAUAAUAAUAAUAAUAAUAAUAAUAAUAAUAAUAAUAAUUUAUUUUUCAUCAAUUGUACAUGAUGGCAGAAGCAGGCAAUAAAAGAAGCCGGUGACAUUUUA